GACGAACGCUGGCGGCGUGCUUAACACAUGCAAGUCGAACGGAAAGGCCCUGCUUUUGUGGGGUGCUCGAGUGGCGAACGGGUGAGUAACACGUGAGUAACCUGCCCUUGACUUUGGGAUAACUUCAGGAAACUGGGGCUAAUACCGGAUAGGAGCUCCUGCUGCAUGGUGGGGGUUGGAAAGUUUCGGCGGUUGGGGAUGGACUCGCGGCUUAUCAGCUUGUUGGUGGGGUAGUGGCUUACCAAGGCUUUGACGGGUAGCCGGCCUGAGAGGGUGACCGGCCACAUUGCGACUGAGAUACGGCCCAGACUCCUACGGGAGGCAGCAGUGGGGAAUAUUGCACAAUGGGAGGAAGCCUGAUGCAGCAACGCCGCGUGCGGGAUGACGGCCUUCGGGUUGUAAACCGCUUUCGCCUGUGACGAAGCGUGAGUGACGGUAAUGGGUAAAGAAGCACCGGCUAACUACGUG
rnacentral:rRNA from 1 species